rnacentral:rRNA from 1 species
UACAGAGACCUCAAGCGUUAUCCGGAUUUAUUGGGCGUAAAGCGUCCGCAGGUGGUUCGUUCAGUCAUUGGUCAAAUCCUGGGGCUCAACCCCAGAACUGCCGAUGAUACUGGCGGACUUGAGACCGGUAGAGGCAAGCGGAAUUACAGGUGUAGCGGUAAAAUGCGCAGAUAUCAGGAGGAACACCGAUGGCGAAGGCAGGUCUCUGGGCCGAUACUGACGCUGAGGAGCGAAAGCGUGGGGAGCGAACAGG